rnacentral:rRNA from 1 species
GCUAGUAAUCACAGGUCAGCAUACUGUGGUGAAUACGUUCCCGGGCCUUGUACACACCGCCCGUCACACCAUGAGAGUUGAGAAUACCCGAAGUCCAUGUCAAAGUGGCCGAAGGUAGGCUUGAUGAUUGGGGUGAAGUCGUAACAAGGUAUC